rnacentral:rRNA from 1 species
GCCCGGAAUACCGAUGGGCGAGCAGCCUUCUGGCAUCAUACUGACACUGAGGCUCGAAAGCGUGGGUAGCAAACAGGAUUAGAUACCCUGGUAGUCCACGCCGUAAACGAUGUCUACUAGUCGUUGGGUCCCUUGAGGACUUAGUGACGCAGCUAACGCAAUAAGUAGACCGCCUGGGGAGUACGGCCGCAAGGUUAAAACUCAAAUGAAUUGACGGGGGCCCGCACAAGCGGUGGAGCAUGUGGUUUAAUUCGAUGCAACGCGAAGAACCUUACCUGGUCUUGACAUAUCUAGAAUCCUGCAGAGAUGCGGGAGUGCCUUCGGGAAUUAGAAUACAGGUGCUGCAUGGCUGUCGUCAGCUCGUGUCGUGAGAUGUUGGGUUAAGUCCCGCAACGAGCGCAACCCUUGUCCUUAGUUACCAGCGGGUUAAGCCGGGAACUCUAAGGAUACUGCCAGUGACAAACUGGAGGAAGGCGGGGACGACGUCAAGUCAUCAUGGCCCUUACGACCAGGGCUACACACGUGCUACAGUGGUAGGUACAGAGGGCAGCUACACAGCGAUGUGAUGCGAAUCUCAAAAAGCCUAUCGUAGUCCAGAUUGGAGUCUGCAACUCGACUCCAUGAAGUAGGAAUCGCUAGUAAUCGCGGAUCAGAAUGCCGCGGUGAAUACGUUCCCGGGCCUUGUACACACCGCCCGUCACACCAUGGGAGUUGAUUGCACCAGAAGUGGAUAGCUUAACCUUCGGGGGAGCGUUCACCACGGUGUGGUUUGAUGACUGGGGUGAAGUCGUAACAAGGUAACCA